GACGAACGCUGGCGGCGUGCCUAAUACAUGCAAGUCGAACGCAGUGGGGACGGGUGAGUAACACGUGGGUAAACUCCCAUAAGAGGGGAUAACACUUGGAAAAAGGUGCUAAACCGAUACUGAUGGAUGAAACAGCGUGGCAUGAGCUAGUUGGUGAGGUAACGGCUCACCAAGGCAACGAUGCAUAGCCGCGCUGAGAGGGUGAUCGGCCACACUGGGACUGAGACACGGCCCAGACUCCUACGGGAGGCAGCAGUAGGGAAUCUUCCGAAAUGGACGAAAGUCUGACCGAGCAACGCCGCGUGAGUGAAGAAGGUUUUCGGGUCGUAAAACUCUGUUGUUAGAGAAGCGUUAUCUAACCAGAAAGCCACGGCUAACUACGUGCCAGCAGCCGCGGUAAUUC
rnacentral:rRNA from 1 species